AUACGGAGGAUGCAAGCGUUAUCCGGAUUUAUUGGGUUUAAAGGGUGCGUAGGCGGUUUGCUAAGCGGGAGGUGAAAUGCCGGCGCUCAACGUCGGAAGUGCCUCCCGAACUGGUGGACUGGAAUGACUCUGCCGUGGGAGGAAUGUGUAGUGUAGCGGUGAAAUGCUUAGAGAUUACACAGAACACCGAUUGCGAAGGCAUCUCACGAAGGGUUGAUUGACGCUGAGGCACGAAAGCGUGGGGAUCAAACAGGAUUAGAUACCCUGGUAGUCCACGCAGUAAACGAUGAUUACUAGCUGUUUGCGAUACAAUGUAAGCGGCUGAGCGAAAGCGUUAAGUAAUCCGCCUGGGGAGUACGUUCGCAAGAAUGAAACUCAAAUGAAUUGACGGGG
rnacentral:rRNA from 1 species